rnacentral:lncRNA from 1 species
GCUUCCAUUGCUGACCUCUACCGACCUCUACCUGUGGUCCUUCCUCUACUGCAGCAGAGACACUGUUUUCUUCCUUUGUUCUUCCAACCCCAUGUUCUCUGGUGCUACAACAAGCCACUGAGUUGUUCUUUGUUCAGAGUGCUCCUAGAUGUCAAAGUUCUGCCAGUUCCCCAACACAGCUUCAAGGCACAGAAACACUCUCCACUGCGGCCAAGGAUUGCAGGAGAGGUGGCAUCAGUGAUUCAAGACUUCUUUUCCUACCUCUUCAGUGUUUCUUUCAGUGAUCUGAAGUUAAAGCCAGGGGGAAUAUCACAGAAGUGAAGUGCAAUUCUCAUCAUGUCAUAUCAAGAGCACACACUAACAAACAACAUGACUUAUUGCUGAAUAUUGAACUUGAUCACCUGGCUGAGGUAGUGUUUGCCAGAUUUCUCUGUAAAGGUGAAUAAACUGACACUGGAACAUUCAGGAACUUCUUCAUGGUCAUGGUCACCCAGCUAGAGUGUGGAAGCCAGGCUGUCUGAUUCCAGGAUCUGUGUUCUUAAUCCUAUACAUAAGGAAGCCAUAAUGAGUCAACCACUAUUUUUAAGAUUCACAGAUGUUCGGGUCCAAUUCACCAGAAUGCCAAGUUAUACAGGGUUGUGGAAUCAAAAACUGCAAUUAGUAAUAAAAUGUGAUGCUAUCUAGAAUGUUUUUCAUACAUAUAUAUGCUUCUUGGGACUCUCCCUGCAGGUUAAGAGAAAUUGAGAAACGAUGGAGAAUUUAAGUGUUUUAGAUCCUACAUACAUUAGACUUAAAAAUAGUAACUAUGUACAUGAGUAUUUGUAAACUUAAGAAUGAACAUAACAUGAACCAUGUGGCACCUAUAAAAUGAAAAUAAAAUACCUACAAACCAAAUGAGAGCAAUAAAAGAAGCUUUAAGGACUUUCA